GCGGGUAUGGAUUAAUGGUAAAUUGUCUGCCUUCCAAGCAGCUGAUAUGGGUUCGAUUCCCAUUACCCGCU
rnacentral:tRNA from 1 species